ensembl:lincRNA
GUCUUGGUCACUGCUCUAGCCCCAAGAGUUGCAAAAUACCUAGAAGACCUUAAAAGAGUUCUAAAUACUGUUUUAAGUAAGUGGAAUAAAAGUCAGACAAGGAGGCAGAUGGUCACCCUGAGCCCCAGGCUCGAUGCAUGGCCGGGAGCACUCAGCAGAGAGAGUGGCUGGGACAGGACUUUAGUUUGCAAACAUCUGACAGCCUGACCAUAGAUUACAAAAUUCUUAUUGUUGAGCAUAGAGCACUGGUUAGGGAGCCCACAGCUCUGGGUUCCAGUCCCAGGACUGGCACCAAUCAUGACAAGUUCCAGAAUACUUUGUGGUUUAUAAGGCAUUCCCACAGAUGGGCUCUCAUUAGACAGGCUCUGUGAGCUCCAGCAAGCAACUUUUAGAGGCCUGUGGGGAGGAAGGGGCCUCCAUAGGCCGCUGUGCUGUGGUCUCCCCUGGUCCUUAGCUAAGCUCUCUCUACUCUUCUGCUAAAGCGAAGAUGCCAAUGACGUGGCCUCCAAGGUUUAUCUAUGAAAGUUUAGGGUUAGGAAUUCACAACCAAUCAGAUCAUAGCACAAGUGUGCGGAGACCCCUCUCUGUAGCACAGCGGCUCCUCACCUUCAGCGUUAGUGGCAGGGCAGCGUCCCCAGGCCCUGAGAAUGUUCCCGGCAUUCUCGGCGGUAACUUACCACGGUGUUUUGUGAAAACAGAUUGUGAAACGGGGCUUCUGUGUAGGUUGCUUGAGAGCCAGUCCCAGGGAGCAGAAGGGAGAGGCUGGGAAAUGGAGAGACAGAGGAAGGGUGGGGUGGACGCCCAGGCGCGUCUGGGUCCUCUCUGUCUAAGGGCCUGGACACCACACGGAUGCCCUCCAGAGCUGUCUCCCAGGAGUGGACCGCAGGACAGCCCUCCCACCCUUGUGCUCCCUGACUGCCCAAGAUGCCCCCAGAGAAACCAGGAUCUAUCCCGCAGGCCGGACUCUUGCUAUGAGGAAGGAAAUCCGUGAACUCUUCUCCUUGGACAAAGCGUAGCUUUUCAGGUGGCUGGGAACACACAGAAGUCUGGUUGGGUUUGGAGCCCAGCAGGCUCCACCUUGGCCCAGCCCUGAGGCCUCAGGCUGAAGAAAUACUACUGUACCCUCUCCUUUACACAUUCCUUUAAUAAUAUUUAUGGUGUGUGCCAAGGGUAAGUUGGAAUUUAAACACCCCUUAACAUUGAAAGAAUAACAGCUUUAAGAUAUAAUUGACACACUGUAUACAAUUCACUUUUGUGAAGUAAGUAGCUCAGUGGUCGUUGAGCUAUUCAGAGUUGCACUGCCAUUGCCACCUUCUAAUUUUAGAACAUGUUCAUUACUCCAGAAGAAAACCCUGUGUCUAUUAGGGGUCACUCUCCAGUCUCCCUUGCCGUGGGUCUCUAUGGAUCUGUCUAUUUGAGACACUUCAUACUAAUGGAGUCAUGACAUGUGGCUUUUGUGAUUAGCUUCUUUCAUUUAGUAUGUUUUUCACUACAGUUUUAUCCACGUUGUAUCAUGCCUGCAUCCUUCCUUUCUUUUUAUUGCCGAAUAGCCCUCUGCUUUGCGGAUAUACUAUAUUUCACUUAUCAUUUGACUGACAUUCAGUUUGCCUCUACUUUUUGGCUGUUGUGACUGAUGCUGCCAUGAACUUCCUCAUACAAGUCUUCACCUAGACAUGUGUUUUUGUUUCUCUUGGACACAAACUAGGAGUAGGGUCAUAGGCUAACUCUGCUGCACAUUGUGGGGAGCUGCUAAACUUUCCCAAGAGGCUGCCCCAUUUGAUCCCCACCAGCCACGUAUGAAGGUCCACACUCCUUAUGUUCCUUUUUUUUAAUAGUUGCCCUCAUAGGUGUGAAGAGGUAUUUUCAUGCGCAUCGAUUUCCCUGACGGCUGAUGCUGUUGAGUAACUUUUCAUUCACUCCUUGGCCAUUCUGGUGUUGUCUUUGGAGAAACAUCUAUCCAAAUCCUUUGCUUAUUUUGAAAUUAAGUCAUCCUCUUAUUGUUGAGUUGUAAGAGUUCUUUACAUAUUCUGGAUACAAGUUCCUUUCGGAUGCCUGUUGAGUUUUGAGAGACAUCUAAAUCAAGGUUGGCGCAGGUGUUGCUUUUUGAAGACUCUGUACCGUGUUGCAAGGUGACAGAAAACUUGCAAAGAAUGCAUUCCAUUCCACACAGACCCCAGAGGAAGAAUACACUGUAGAACGGUCCUUGGAGGUGGCUCACUGCUCAGUUCUACCCAUUUCAAAUCCUGCUGAAGAAGAGUCACGGAGCCCUGGUGGGCUGCAGGGUUAGGGUUACAGACUGGUUAAGGUGUUGGAGGCAGAAUCACAGGAGGGGCUUUUCUUUCUUUUUGAAAGCAUAGGCUUUCAUUUUUUUGGCAAAUGAGAUGGUACAUUAAAAGCAUUGUGGAGUUGUAAAGGGAUAUGCAAAUAUAAGAUGACAUUCUUAUUGUUACUAUUGUUUGUGGGAACCAAUGAAAAUCGUGUCUUGGAUGAAAUCACAGAG